GGGCCCGCACAAGCGGUGGAGCAUGUGGUUUAAUUCGAUGCAACGCGAAAAACCUUACCUACACUUGACAUACUUCGAAUUUUCUAGAGAUAGAUUAGUGCCUUCGGGAGCGAAGAUACAGGUGCUGCAUGGCUGUCGUCAGCUCGUGUCGUGAGAUGUUGGGUUAAGUCCUAUAACGAGCGCAACCCUUACCCUUAUUUGCCAGCGGUUAGGCCGGGAACUAUAAGGGAACUGCCGGUAAUAAGCCGGAGGAAGGUGGGGACGACGUCAAGUCAUCAUGCCCCUUAUGUCCAGGGCUGCACGCAUGCUACAAUGGCAAGUACAACGAGUCGCAAUACCGCGAGGUGGAGCAAAUCUCUUAAAGCUUGUCUCAGUUCGGAUAGGAGUCUGCAACUCGACUCCUUGAAGUUGGAGUCGCUAGUAAUCG
rnacentral:rRNA from 1 species